GAUGAACGCUGGCGGCGUGCCUAAUACAUGCAAGUCGAGCGAACGGACGAGAAGCUUGCUUUUCUGAUGUUAGCGGCGGACGGGUGAGUAACACGUGGAUAACCUACCUAUAAGACUGGGAUAACUUCGGGAAACCGGAGCUAAUACCGGAUAAUAUUUUGAACCGCAUGGUUCAAAAGUGAAAGACGGUCUUGCUGUCACUUAUAGAUGGAUCCGCGCUGCAUUAGCUAGUUGGUAAGGUAACGGCUUACCAAGGCAACGAUGCAUAGCCGACCUGAGAGGGUGAUCGGCCACACUGGAACGGAGACACGGUCCAGACUCCUACGGGAGGCAGCAGUAGGGAAUCUUCCGCAAUGGGCGAAAGCCUGACGGAGCAACGCCGCGUGAGUGAUGAAGGUCUUCUGAUCGUAAAACUCUGUUAUUAGGGAAGAACAGAUGUGUAAGUAACUGUGCACAUCUUGACGGUACCUAAUCAGAAAGCCACGGCUAACUACGUG
rnacentral:rRNA from 1 species